rnacentral:rRNA from 1 species
AUACGUAGGGUGCGAGCGUUAAUCGGAAUUACUGGGCGUAAAGCGUGCGUAGGCGGUUUUGUAAGACCGAUGUGAAAUCCCCGGGCUUAACCUGGGAACUGCAUUGGUGACUGCAAGGCUUGAGUACGGCAGAGGGGGAUGGAACUCCGCGUGUAGCAGUGAAAUGCGUAGAUAUGCGGAAGAACACCAAUGGCGAAGGCAGUCCCCUGGGCCUGUACUGACGCUCAUGCACGAAAGCGUGGGGAGCAAACAGGAUUAGAUACCCUGGUAGUCCACGCCCUAAACGAUGUCAACUGGUUGUUGGACGGCUUGCUGUUCAGUAACGAAGCUAACGCGUGAAGUUGACCGCCUGGGGAGUACGGCCGCAAGGUUGAA